rnacentral:lncRNA from 10 species
CACUCUCAAAUCAUUAUCCCACAAUUUGUUCAUAAAUAGCAUACGAUGUCCUUCAUAUGUAUAGGAGGAAGGAAAACCUCUAAAGUUUAAUCUUAGCUAAUAUUUUAUUUUUCUAUUUAUCUUAAAGAAAGAGAAAUAAAGCAGAAUAUCCACAUCAAAAGAAGGCAAAGUACUCUCAUUUUUGUGAAUUUUAUAGUUAUUUGCAUGCAUGUGAGUAAGCUGUACUUCCCAAACACUUAAUCAUUUUAAGUAUCUUUUUUCCCUUUUUUCUUCUCUAUCUUUGUACACUCAAUACUUAAAAUAAUACCCAGAACAUAAUAAGUUGCUUGAUACUUGCUUUCCUGCUGAAUGAAUAAACAAAUAAAAUCAAGUACUUUAACAUAGACGAAUUUGAGGAAAGGAAGUUGUUUUAUGGGGAAUUUUAUAGUUCCCAUUUCACACGAUAAUGACAUUA